rnacentral:rRNA from 1 species
AUUGAACGCUGGCGGCAGGCCUAACACAUGCAAGUCGAACGAGUGGCGGACGGGUGAGUAAUGUCUGGGAAACUGCCUGAUGGAGGGGGAUAACUACUGGAAACGGUAGCUAAUACCGCAUACCAUCGGAUGUGCCCAGAUGGGCUUAGCUAGUAGGUUGGGUAAAGGCUCACCUAGGCGACGAUCCCUAGCUGGUCUGAGAGGAUGACCAGCCCCACUGAAACUGAGACACGGUGUAGACUCCUACGGUAGGCAGCAGUGGGGAAUAUUGCACAAUGGGCGCAAGCUGGAUGCAGCCAUGCCGCGUGUAUGAAGAAGGCCGUCGGGUUGUAAAGUACUUUCAGCGGGGAGGCGUUACCCGCAGAAGAAGCACCGGCUAACUCCGUGCCAGCAGCCGCGGUAAUAC